UACGGGAGGCAGCAGUAAGGAAUAUUGGACAAUGGUCGCAAGACUGAUCCAGCCAUGCCGCGUGCAGGAAGACGGCCCUAUGGGUUGUAAACUGCUUUUGCACCAGAGAAAACCCUUCUACGUGUAGGAGGCUGAUAGUAUGGUGAGAAUAAGCAUCGGCUAACUUCGUGCCAGCAGCCGCGGUAAGACGAAGGAUGCAAGCGUUAUCCGGAUUCAUUGGGUUUAAAGGGAGCGUAGGUGGACUUGUAAGUCAGUGGUGAAAUCCCAUCGCUUAACGAUGGAACUGCCAUUGAUACUGCUUGUCUUGAGUACAGAUGCUGUGGGCGGAAUAUGACAUGUAGUGGUGAAAUACUUAGAGAUGUCAUAGAACACCGAUUGCGAAGGCAGCUCACAAAACUGUAACUGACACUGAGGCUCGAAAGUAUGGGGAUCAAACAGGAUUAGAUACCCUGGUAGUCCAUACAGUAAACGAUGAUUACUCGCUGUUGGAAGGUAACUUUCAGUGGCUAAGCGAAAGCGAUAAGUAAUCCACCUGGGGAGUACGCCGGCAACGGUGAAACUCAAAGGAAUUGACGG
rnacentral:rRNA from 1 species